GCAUUCAGAGCUCUUAAUUAUAUGGUGUUGUGUGGCGGCAUUUGGCUGGAACAGCGAGGAGUCGGUGAGAGCUGCUGCGUGGUGGUUAGCCUGUGUGGCUAGGAUGCAGCUAAAAGCUUAUCCCGGCGGGGGAGAGGAUGGAGGAUGGAGGAGAGGAAGCCGGCCGAGCCGCUGCAGAACAAAGACGGAGCCUCGGCUGGCCAGUCGGAGUACAGGGGCGCUCUCAGCAGGAGCGGAGGACAAUCAAAAAGUUAGACAGGCGUGAGGACUCACGGCCACUCCUCAAGACGCUUCUACUAAUUGCUUCUGUAGCUACGGCGUAAACUGGGUGAACUUGGAUGGAAAACGUAAAUAUAUUCAUCUCCAGUCCGUGACACUCGUUCAUGACCUCUGAACCCUCGGUGGCGGUUUUGGACUGAAGAAGGCCGAGUCUGAAGUGUCCAGGAGGCUGAGCAGCGGCACCUGCCUGCAGCGCUGGGACGAAGGCGGACACAGGAGCCCGAGCAGAAAAGCCGGCGUCCACCUGGAACUCCUGCUCUGAGGCCGGAGAGGGGGGACAACUAUGAGUCUGCGUCGCCGACCCCUCCCCUUGUCUCUGCGUUUGAUUGACAGGGUGGACAGAUGCUGCUCUAUAAACAGAUGGAGUCUUCCUCUCACACACUCUCUGAUGGGAGGCAAGCUGAGACUAAUGACUACCCAGGAUGCACUGUGCCACUCGUACGCACAGCAAGUUCAGGCUCAUCCUCCCUCCUGCUGUUGUCACGGUAACCGCAGCUUGAGUGAAGGCACCAACACCUGCGCGACUGAUGGUGAUAGGGUUCUGCGUUUAAUAUGUCCUCACCUGUGUGUGUCGGUUUGUGUGCUCAUCUGAGGUUGUGACAUUUUGUCUCCCUACAUCCUGCAGGUGCUGUUUCAGGGGUUUGGGUCAGAAUUGGGAGCAGACGUUACCUCCAGCUGUGGCCUCACAAAAAGGACAUCCUUAUUCUGGGCAUGAAUCUGAGGGUCUCCAACUAAAUCACACAAUAACACAAAUGCUCCUGAAGAACUACAAUCAGAGGCUCAUCACACAUUUGUGUUGUAACCUGCAAACAAGUUCAAAGAAAGCUGCUCUGUGAGGGUUACCUCGCAUGAUAAAGACAAGAUAAACUGAAGUGAUGGAGUCAUGCUCACUUUGUGAGAUUCUCUGAAUAAAUCGUCUCCGUGUUGUCUGAUUGGGACAAACAGACUGGAAAACGUCAGCUGCUAGGCGCUAAUUGCUGACUCUGAAGGCCUUUCCAUGUGGCCCCUAUGUAAGCUAAUGGCUAAGUGUGCCACCGUGAGCUACCACCACAAGCUAACAGUUAACUGCUAACCAGUAAUUAUGAACAGCACCCUCUUCUUCACCCUGAAGGACUUAUCAUGUUGUUUAGCCAUUAGCAUUCGCUAGCAUACUGCCCUAGCAUGGAGCUGCACUCGCCCUGUGGCGCAUUGGCAUUUCAAAGUGAUAAUUAUCACAAACUGGUUGACAAAUGCUACUUAGCCAAGGCCGGGGGUCAGGGGAAUUAUGGGAGAAUGAGUCCUGAGAGUCAGGCGGGGGCGUGGCCGGCCAACGGUGCAGUGCUUUGUUUUGGAUAAUGAUAGAUUUUAGCAGCAGGUCACUUCACCACACGCUCACCUCGUCUCAUUCACACACUCUCCUCACUUCCUCUCCUUCAUCGCUUCCUAACCUCCUCUUCCUCCCCUCCCUUAUCCUUGUUUACAACAAACAUUUCCAGUAAACAUAAUAACAGAGGGCACCCAACCUGUUGCUAGGCGACAAUCACAGGCACAAUAGUGAUGGAGGAUGACUGUGUGUGAGAGAGAGGUACCAAACCUACAUUAAGCAGGUUCCAUCCUUCUGUUUCUCCAGUCAACAGACAGACGUAUGUCACCAAGUGUUUCAGGUGCUGACCCGUCUCAUGGUUGGAUAUUCAGCAGCCGGUGUGUUGAUUUGGGGGGGGGUCUACAUCCCCCCAAAACAUCUCAAAAGAAACAGAAAAUAUUAACUUUCAGCUGCUGAAAAUCAAUUCAACAUUCAUUUAUUUUCGCAGCAGACUGAAGCCGAUGGCGGAGGUCAAAGUUCACAGGGGCCGCGUCUUAACUUACACAGGCCACACACAAUCGAGCAGGCACACUAUCAAUUUACAUGAGAAGAUUUUUAAGGAUCACUGAACGACUUGCUCUCACACUUACACUUCACACACACACAGACAGACACGCUUCCUCCUGAUGAAGACUGAAGCUGUCAACGUGCACACACACCUCACACACAUUCCUUCAGCUGCUGGUGGACCGAGCUGAAACCUCACAGAUGGCCCAUUUCAGCUCCACAGCGGUUUUUCACCACGAGGCACUGACAGGCUCCAGUUUCACCUCCGUUAUCAACUGAUUUAUGAAUCGAUUGGCCCCAAUUUGUUUCUGUCGUUACACGACAGAUUAGCUCCAUUAAAGCAGCACGGUUUAAUAUUUCCACUUCUUUUUGAGAAUAAAAAAACAUUUCAUCACAGCAGCAUUUUAAAAGUUGUGUACAUCACUUCCUUCUUCUGUUCAUGGAAACUGUGCUGAGGGGUGUUUUCACUGUUUGUGAGGUUGUUGACUUCAUUUCAUUUCAUAGGAAGGAAACCAACAGCUGCUCACAGACAAACAAACUUGAACCAAGCCCAUGUGGUAGCGCCGCCACCCUCGCUCUCCUGCAUAUGAUCCACUAGCUGUAAUAGACUCUCCAUCAUCAGUUUGGAUAAAUAGUGAGCACUGUGUGGGAUGAACUGCUGCAGAUCAAUGCAGCUGAUGCGUUCUCCUGCUUUAAUGACUCGGGAAGACAUUUAUUAAAGUGAGCGGGCAGGAAAUCUAUGCUAACAAGACUGCAACCACAUUACGGCCUCUCCCCCCUGUGUGUGUGUGUGUGUGUGUGUGGACAUAAGCCCGUAGCGUUGUGUUCAAAGUCAAAUUAAAUAGAGAUUUGUGAGCACUUGUCAAAAAAAAUGAAUAAAUUAGGACAAGGGCAGAAUGAGCAGCAUAAGCUCAACCAUCAUACUAUUCUAUAACCUACUUUGAGACAUGGUUUCACUACAGAACAACGUGGUUCACAGACAGUACAGUUCCCUGUCUGGUGACUGUGGGGAAGCAUUAAUUAGACACCUGAAGUAGUGCAGGACGUGAAGGAAGCCAGAACAACACACACCGGGUUUUCUAAAGUUAUAACAAAUAUUAGCAGACUUGUUAAAUCACUGCUGCUUCAUUAACAAGACACCAAGGCAAACAAACAAACACAGAUCCCUGCUCCGCUGCAGGAGGAGCUGGAAAGCCUGGCAGACCCUGACAGCCCAGCACACAUCCAGCUGCCACUGCAGCAGCGUGGCUGUUAGCUCACACGUAUGAAGUGCAGGCAUGAAAAGCACGUGCUGACAGCUUAUUUAAAGGCUGAAUUAGAGGCUGUGCUCAAGGGGCCUCUGGCAGCCAAAGAUGGAUUUAAAACAGUCCGACUUCAAGGUGAAGUUUCCAUGGCUUCCAAACUGGAGGUUUACUAAAAGCAGCAAAUAGAUACAGUAAUG